UUAAAGGCUUUGCUAAAAGCCACAUAGAAACUCAGUAUAUGUUCC
rfam:Rattus norvegicus chromosome 1, whole genome shotgun sequence.